UACGUAGGGUGCGAGCGUUAAUCGGAAUUACUGGGCGUAAAGCGUGCGCAGGCGGUCUGUUAAGACAGAUGUGAAAUCCCCGGGCUUAACCUGGGAACUGCAUUUGUGACUGGCAGGCUAGAGUAUGGCAGAGGGGGGUAGAAUUCCACGUGUAGCAGUGAAAUGCGUAGAGAUGUGGAGGAAUACCGAUGGCGAAGGCAGCCCCCUGGGCCAAUACUGACGCUCAUGCACGAAAGCGUGGGGAGCAAACAGA
rnacentral:rRNA from 1 species